rnacentral:rRNA from 1 species
UGGCGGCAGGCUUAACACAUGCAAGUCGAGCGGAAACGAUGGUAGCUUGCUACCAGGCGUCGAGCGGCGGACGGGUGAGUAACACUUAGGAAUCUACCUAGUAGUGGGGGAUAGCACGGGGAAACUCGUAUUAAUACCGCAUACGACCUACGGGAGAAAGGGGGCAGUUACUGCUCUCGCUAUUAGAUGAGCCUAAGUCGGAUUAGCUAGAUGGUGGGGUAAAGGCCUACCAUGGCGACGAUCUGUAGCUGGUCUGAGAGGAUGAUCAGCCACACCGGGACUGAGACACGGCCCGGACUCCUACGGGAGGCAGCAGUGGGGAAUAUUGGACAAUGGGGGAAACCCUGAUCCAGCCAUGCCGCGUGUGUGAAGAAGGCCUUUUGGUUGUAAAGCACUUUAAGCAGUGAAGAAGACCUAACGGUUAAUACCCGUUAGCGAUGACAUUAGCUGCAGAAUAAGCACCGGCUAACUCUGUGCCAGCAGCCG